rnacentral:rRNA from 1 species
GACGAACCGUGCAAACGUUAUUCGGAAUCACUGGGCUUAAAGGGCGCGUAGGCGGGCUGCCAAGUCCGCGGUGAAAUACUCCAGCUCAACUGGAGAACUGCCGCGGAUACUGGCGGUCUCGAGGGAGGUAGGGGCGUGCGGAACACUAGGUGGAGCGGUGAAAUGCGUUGAUAUCUAGUGGAACUCCGGUGGCGAAGGCGGCACGCUGGACCUCUUCUGACGCUGAGGCGCGAAAGCCAGGGGAGCGAACGGG